UCGGUGGUGGCUCAGUUGGAUAUUGCGUAGGCUCAUUGCCGUUGAGACAUCCUGAACUCGAGAGUUCGAUCCUCUCCCACCCCA